rnacentral:lncRNA from 1 species
AAAAGGUUUUAAAGUGCCAAAACCUAAAAAACUGCUCAGCUUUAAGAAAAAACGAGACUAGUUCAUGCCGCAACCGCUCAACGGUCAAAUGAACCGCUCAACGGUUUGGCCAAAAAAAUUUUCUCUCUUCUUUGCUUGCUUAAAAGCAACCUAACACAGUAGCACUUAAUUUCAACCUUCAAUUUUUCUAUUACAAGCCUUUCCCC